UUUUUUUUUUUUUUUUUAGUAUGUUUACAGAGUUAUGCAACCAUCGCCACUGUGUAAUUCCAAACCAUUUUUAUCACUCCUAAAAGAAACCCCUGGGCACUCAGUCCCCAUUACCUGCAUUUGCCCAGCCUGGCAGCCACCAGACUGCUUUUGGUCCCUAUGAUUUGCCUGUUCUGGCCAUUUCACAUGAGUGGGGUCGUGUAGUGUGUGACCUCUCUGACCUCCAUGUCAUGCUCCAAGAAUGAGCCUCUGUCCAUUUCUCUGUGCACGUCUGCCUACCACAGACACAAGAGUCAUCAGAACCUGGAAAGUUCCUAUCACAGGGCAUUUUUCUCUCCUAAUCCAGGCUGUAGUGCCCUGGUGGUGAUGGGAGAUGCCAUCAGAUUUUGCUGUAAGCGUUGGUGGGUUUCACGUGCCUCUCUAGUUGGAGUCAAUUCACAAGGCCACUCCUCGGUGUGGUGAAAUGUAUCAAGGAUGGUCCCAGUCUCUCAGAGCUCCUUAGCAUGGUAUCGUUUUGGUGAAAAGCAGUGUUAGCUUUGGAAAUAAAGGAACAAGGGCUGGGCAUCUCCUAUUCCUUGUGCAGAAUUCAGCACUGCCUGGACAUCAACAUUAGUCUUGUCUGUGCCAUGUGCUUUGGUUCUUGGUCCAAAUAAUUUGCCACAAUCCUUGACCAGCUUGGUUUUGGCCAUGUCCAUGAGGGCCGAGGGGAUUCCUUGAGGUCCAUAUGGUUGCUGGUUGAGCCACUAGCAAAUAAAGUGGCCUUGAUACUUAGCAUGGUCUGUGGGGAGGGGAGGCACCAUGGUGAUGACCUUUGACAAUAAAUAGACCUUUGGAACUAGACUGUGGCCUCCAGAUGCAGGAGCGGCUUCAUCCUGGGGCUGGUGGGAAUGAGCUACCAAUAGAUACUUUGGUUCCUGGAUUAUGAAGCAGGUGCAAUUGUGUACUCCAAGGGUUUAAAGGUUAUAGGAUCCAAGUUUAAGGUGAUGGCAUUAUUUGUGCUUGAUUGACCCAGUCACAGGGAACUGUUUCCUCAUCCAUGUCACCAGACAGUUAUGGAGUGUAUAUCACCUACCAGUCAACAGCACAUAUUUGACUUUGGCCAUAGGUUUAAUUGUAGCUGCUUUGAUGAAAUUUGGGAGAGGGUCCUUUCUUUUCACCCGUGUAGCCUUGGUUGGGAAGCAGAUCAUGAUGGUCGUGGUGUCGGGGGAUGGGAACAUGUUGGUGUAGCCGUGGGACCCUUCACAUGUGGCUUGGUGACCCUCGCUGUCAUGUCCUUGCCUCUCAGAGGUGUGAAGCUCAGGUGAGAUCCCGUUUCUGGAUGUAUUUUGGAACGGCGGGGAGGGCUGGCCACAAAAUCCACAGGGUCAGACCCUCCUGUGCAUGAAGGGCCAGGACGAAGUCUCUCCUUUGCCUGGCAAGUAAGAAAAUUGCCUUUGCUCAGCGGGAGGGACCUUUAACCAUCUCAGUUUGGGAAGAGUCAUUAAGUGCCCAUUAGGUGGCUGUCACUGUGUUAGGCAGCUUAACAAGAGGUUUUCUGCCCUGUAGCGGGAGUCAGGCAGAGUGACGGAGUGGACGGGGUGUAGGGACCAGAACAUAGGCCCUUGGUGCAUACUUUGGUUCUUGGUCUAAACCUAGAACAAGGGGUGUGUGUGUGUGUGGGGGUGUGUGUGUGUGUGUGUGUGGGUGUGGGUGUGUGUGGGUGUGUGUAUCGUAGUAACUUCUUUCUGUAUCCUAAUGCCUAAGAGGGCGUUUGUCAGGACCAAGUGAGGAAAUGUGCAUAAAGUACUUGGCAAUGCUCCAUAAAUCCUACCAACUGUGCCUCCUUUUCCUUUUGAUUCAUCUGUUACUCUCACUUCACAGGUGGGGAGACCCUGGGCCACUCUUCAUGUCAUGUAACAAUGCCAUGAGGGCCUUGUCCCCUCUGUCCACAUACCUCUGGGAGUGGGGAGCUUACUACACCCCCUGCCCCCCAGGUGUCGUGUUCCACUUUGGAAUAGCUGUACAUGACUCUUGGAAUAUGUCCAGGUGGAUGGUGAGGCCCGCUUCCCAAAAAGUACAGGCGUGGGGUGAUUUUUCAUGCCGUGGAGAUGGGCUGGCUGUCCACUUGGCCUUGGCCUAAUAUCCCCUUCAUACAGAUGAAGGAAGGCCCAUGGCAUUUUAAGGACUGGUAAGCCUUUGGGAUGGAGGUGGAGGAGCUUAGCUUAGGGAGUCAUAGGGUCAAGGAUAGAAGGCGGCCAUCAGGAGAGCCCAGGAGCUGAGGUAGGAUGUCAUCAUGCCCAGGGUCACAGGCCUUGUUGCACCUGACCGUGAAAGUCAUCGUUGGGUUGGGUUGGGUGUCCAGGGCUAUACAGUCCUCUGUUAAAACACACUAAGUAGGACACUACCAUGUGAUGAUCUCUUUAUUUGCUGAAAAAGCCUUUGGUAUAAUCCACUUUGCACUUCAGGAGUAAACAUCUCUAACUCGGCACAGAGGGGAGCUUUCUUAAUUUGGUGACUUAAUUCAUAGAAUCUCUAGCCAGUGUUGUUAUUCUUAAUAGAUGAGCAUGGGAUACAUUCCCCUUAAGUUAAGAAUAAGACAGGGAUGCCCCUGUUACCUCUCUUGUUCAGCAUUGAACUGUAGUUCCAAACCGGUGCAGUAAGACGAGAGAAUGAAGAGAGAGACAUGAGCAAUGGACAGGAGGAGAUGGCAGGGUCAUUGUUUGCUGGUGAUCUGACCGUCUGGCUAGAGGAAAUCCUAGAUUCUGAAUCUAUAACAUGUGAGAAGCAAUGGAGGAGGCCGAAGGUCAAGUACAAAAAUGCAUGGCUUUCUAAUAGACCAAUGACAGAUAACUGCAAAACGAAGUUGAGAAAACCAGGGCUCUGUGUGGUGAGGGGUUUUGACAUUGUCCACCUGGCAUCCAUGGUGGUGAUUGUCCACUUGUAUGUUUACAGUGUGAUAAAGGACAGAUAUCUUUUUUCUUUUUUUCUUUUUCCACCACCCAAAGCAUAUGGAAGUUCCUGAACCAGGGAUUGAAUCCAAGCCUGAGCUGCGACCUCCACCACAGCUGUGGCCAUGCCGGAUCCUUUACCCACUGUCCCGGGCUGGGGAGCCAACCCGCACCGCUGAAAAGACAACACUGGAUCUUUAACCUGCUGUGCCUCAGGGGGAGCUCCAAGGACAGAUAUCUUUAUUUUGAUUUUCACAGAGCAGGAAGCUUUGGCUCAGAGAGGUCAAAGUGACCUUGCUGAAGGUCACACUGUGCACGGGAGGCAGAAGUGGGACCAGGUCUCCAGGGUAGAACAGUGCUCCUUUCUCGUGGCUACUCUCCACUGCCCUCUUCAGACCUCACCGUCCCGACCAGGUGGUCUCGUCCUCUGUCACCCAUCUCCAGUAGAGGCGAGCUGGUGGGAGCGAUGGUUUGGAAGCACUUCUAUCUGGGUUAGAAUGUUCUUCUUUGCUUCCUUUAUGAGCAACAGCUUGUCCUUUCUAAUUCUCUUGUGUGUGAGAUGCUGGGUGGGGUUAGCUUUCUUCUGAGGGUACCUGGCCUGAGCUGGGAGGAGGGAGGGGAGAGGCAAGGGUUGUUGGGUGUGCUCUGGUUCUCUCCCACCCCUUCCUCUUAGUCUGAUUCACAUUUUUGCCUCUUUAUUUUGUUAAAUGCCUCUUCAACAAUUAUAACAAUAACGUACUUCACUGCAACUUGUGGAAUAAUAACACAGAAGAAAAGGUGGUCUUAUUUCUUCUUUGACAGCUGUCUGCUGCCCCACACAUCUCUCCUGCAGCUUCACCGAACCGGUGAUGAGAGCCUCGUAUAGAUUUUCCCAGUCAUUUCUCCAGGUACUAACAGGUUUUCCAUUGGUUUAGUGGGAAUCAUGCUGGAUGAUGGAGAUACUGCAGUGAGCAAGAGACAAAAAUCCCUGCCUGGACAGUUCCUUUGUGGCUCAGUGGUAACGAACCCAACUAGAGUCCAUGAGGUUGCAGGUUGGAUCCCUGACCUUGCUCAGGGGGUUCAGGAUCCAGCAUUGCUGUGAGCUGUGGUGUACUUUGCAGACAUGGCUUGGAUCUGGUGCUGCUGUGGCUGUGGCAUAGGCCAGCAGCUGCAGCUCCAAUUUGACCUCUAGCCUGGGCAUUUCUGUAUGCAGUGGGUAUGGCCCUAAAAAGAUAAGGAAAAAAAAAAAAAAUCCCUGCCCUCAUGGAGCUUACCAUCUAGAAGGUGGGAAUAUCUAAUAGUGAAGUGUCUAAAGGCCCAGCCAAUGACAAAUUCUAUGGAGAAAAAAUAAAGCAGGAAAAAGUCCCCCACUCCUCUUUUGUCACUUGGGAUGAGGGGGUCAGGCUAGAAUUUACUGAGAAGGCAGUUUUUAUAAGAGACCUAAAGGAUGUGUAGGAGACUGGAAGAUCUCUGGGGAGGAGCAUCGAGGCUGAGGGUGAGUGCGAAGGCCCUGUGGUAGGAUUGUGCUGUGUCAGUGGGAGCAGAGUUGUGACAGGAAGGAGGUAGGCAGUGAAGUUAAGGGGUGUUGGGGGGGUGGGGAGGAGAGGAAUCAGGGGACAGAAAGAUUGUGCAGGGCCUUAUGUGCAAAAAGGGCAUCUGAUCACACUUUUCCCUCAUAACUUGCUUUUCUUAUUUAAUAAUGUCUCAUAGACAUCCCUCCAGGUCCACAGAAUAAAGAUCUCAUUUUUAAAAACAAUUGAUGGCAUUCCCGUCGUGGCUCAGUGGUUAACGAAUCCGACUAGGAACCAUAAGGUUGCGGGUUCGAUCCCUGGCCUUGCUCAGUGGGUUAAGGAUCCGGUGUUGCCGUGAGCUGUGGUGUAGGUUGAAGACGCGCUCGGAUCCAGCAUUGCUGUGGCUGUGGUGUAGGCCAGCGGCUACAGCUCCAAUUAGACCCCUAGCCUGGGAACCUCCAUAUGCCACAGAACAACCCUAGAAAGGCAAAAAGACAAAAAAAGACAAAAAAAAAAAAAACUGUCAAAUAUUCAUGUGCCAUAAUUGAUUUAGCCAGUAUCUUUAAAAUUUUUUAUUAAUGUUAAUUUUUUAAAAUGUUAUCUUAUUUUUUAUUGAGGUGUAGUUGAUUGAUGAUAUAUUAGAUUCAGGCGUACAACAUAGUGAUUCAAAACUUUUGUUGCUGAUACUCCAUUUAAAUUUAUUAUAAAUUGUUGGCUACAUUCCCUGUGCUGUACAGUAUAUCCUUGUAGCUAAUUUAUUUUAUACCCAGUAUUUUGUAAUUCCCCUCCCCCGUCUCGCCCUCCUCCUAAUUUACCCCUCCCCCUCUUUUGUCCCUCCCCCCUUCCCUCUCCCUGCUGUUGGCAGUUCUCUUCUGAUGAAUUUUCAGGUUGUUUCUUUCCUGUUAGGGCGGUGCUGUAAUAUUCUUGUACAUGUUGCUUUCCCUUCUGAUACUUUUAUCACUCUACAUGUUGGAGUGUGGGAUUUCUAGGUCAGGGGGCACAUGUACAUUUAACUUUAAUAGAUAGUGUUAGAUUUCUCUCCAUUCAGGUUGUGGCUGCCUUCUCCGACCGAACUGUGCCUAAGUCUCAGACGGCUGGCUUUGUAUGCAAAUCACUAAAUAGCUAGGCUGAAAAGAGGAGAAAUCACACCUACAAAAAAAGGACAGCUCCGGAAUCCUUCCUCUGGUGGGAAGGUGUGUGGCCUUUUGGAGUGCGCUGCUGGGAACACUGUCAUUUGCUCUUUUGGGGAGCUUGUAUUUGAUGGUUGUGACGUCAAGAUACAAAGAAGAUGGAAACACAGCUGUUGCUGUGUUGUUUGCAUUAUGGCUUAUUUUCCACAUCCUGAAAAUAAGCACCAAAGUGAGGAGCAGCACGGACUGAGAUUCACACCUUGUCAGAUACCAGCCCACGUUCCCGUAGCGUCUUGAGGACAAGGCUUCAUCCUCGUGUCCCAUCUUGAGUGCUGGUAGAGCGGUGGUGGGCGUAUGCUUGCUUGCCCCCCAUCCCCUCCCCCAUCCCCCUUGACGUUCUCACUGGGAUCUGGGAUCUUGUAAUCUUUGAGGCCAACUUGUCAUCUGGUUUAUAGCCUUAUGUACUUGGGUGAUUUGUACUGUUGGACGUGUAGGCCUGUUUCCUUUCUAUUGCAAUUCAAACAAAGAAUAAUUCUGUGUAUGUUUUUUUGGCACCUGUCUCAGGAUACCUGUUGGGUAGGUUUCUGGAACCAGAACCUCUGAAUCGAAAGGGAUUUGCCACUUACGUGUUGAUAGAUGUUAUGAAAUUGACUUUCGUCUGAAGAGGGACAGUGUCCCCAUCCACUGGCCCUGCAGGAGAGGCCCUUCUCCCCAAGCCAUCUGCCGCACAGGGUCUUGUCACGUGUCUUGAUUUUUGGCCCAUCUGAUGGGUCAGAUGUUGUCUCUCACUGCUUUUUAUUUUGUAUCUUUAUUUUGUAUCUAUGUCUCAGGAGUCAGGACAAACACCUUAUCAGAUGGCAAAGAACUCUUUGUUUCUUAUUUGUCUUUUAGAUGCUUUGCUCCUUUUUAUUUUCCUGGUGGACUAUUUUUAUUUCCCCCCGGCCCCUUCCAGCAUGGUGUGUCCACAUUAUAAGGACAUUCGACACUGUGAUUAGAUAACUAGUCUGUCUAACUAGUUAGAGGUUGAUCCACGUCACCUUUAUUGCCGGGAGUGAAAAUCUAGGCUUUGGAGAAAAGGAAGUAUGUCUCAACAACAAAGUUGAUCACGGUUGCAUUUGGACAAGUGUGUUGUACUGACUGUUCCUGGAACGGCUUAAAUUGCAGCCAUAACAGAGAACUGUUGGACUCUGGUGUCCAUCAGCCUGGCAACAUCUUUUAUACAGUCUCAUUUUUAUCCCAUCACGGGUUUGAGGGAAUAUGAGGAAACUUGGCUGUUUGCUACUAUAGUUUUUUUUCCUCCACUUGCUUGAAUUUACAACUAACUCUGUUGCUGGGCUAGCGCCCUCCACUAGUCCAGAUGGCGUGCUAUGCAAACGAUCCUCAAUUUCAGUAACUUAACACAAUCAAGGGCGUUUCCCACCUCCAUGGCAUUUAUUGUUAACACGUACAUGGGUGUUCCUGGUGGGGCAGCCCUCCAAAAGCAUCUGGUCACAGAUCCAGGCUCCUUCCGCCUGUGGCUGUCCUGUUCUAGGCCACCUCUGGGUCCCCAGCUGCCAGAGGGGACAACAGAGAAGAGGAUGGUGAGAGGGAAGGUCUCAUGGACCAGAUGCUCUGCCCGCACUCCACUGGCCAGAACUCAGUCUUGUCUCCCGACUAACUGGAGGGAGGCUGGACAGUGGAGGCCAGCGCCUGUCCCACCCAGGUGGUUGAUCCUGACUCCAGGUGCCUGGUGUGCCCUGAUAUCUGGGCGCCACGUAGACUUGUAAGUUUCCUAAGUGUCUUCUCAGGUGUGAUCACACUCUGUUCUUAGAUGGCUGUGCAAAGGAGAGGUAAGGUGAAUGUUUUUAACCCCUAUUUGGAACCAAGGAGGUAGGCCCAGGGAGGUAAAUAUCCUAUGCAGGGUGAGGCACUUAGGUUUGGACGGGUGCGGAGAGAGUGGGCUCGAGGACAAAGCUUCCAUCUGCCUGGCCCUUUCUGACAUGACAUAGAGCAUCAUCCAUUCCAGGCAGGCCUGGGCCAGCCUCUGUGCAUAGGAGAACGGGCCUUGGGGUAAGAAGACAGUGGAGGCUGGCCUGGUGCAUCCUCCACCCUGGUGUGUGGCAAGAAGGCAAGGUGUCUUUUCCCCUCUGAACAUACCAGCCACACAGUGAGGGGGACAGCACUGCUGCUGGUGAGAAGGCUUGGCCAGAACUGCAGUGAACCCGGCACCAGCAUGGGAGCCGUCCCUCACCUUGGCCCAUCGCCCCUUUCUCCCUGUUGGCCUGGGAUGGUAUCACGGAAAUUGGGGCUUUCUUCUUCUCACUCCCGUUUCCCUUUAUUUAAUUAUUUUGAAACAUCUGCUGCUGCAGUGAGAUCAGCAUGUGAGCCGUGAUAUCUCGUCUGUUCUAUUUCGAGCAGCAGGGAACCAAAUGUGGGAUGGUGCUGUCACCUCCUCUCUGGGUAAGGACUGUGUCUCCAAGAACCCACUGGGCCGACUGAGCCAAGUGGCUUUGGGCACACUCGGGAUAUUUUCUUCUCCAGGGUGGAUGCCUGGGUUUCUUUGUAGGGUGAGUGCCUUGAACCAACCUGGUCAAAGCUUGUGGGGAAGCCUGACAGAAUCCUAAGUGGAUGCAUGGAUGGUCAAGGUUGCAAAGACAGCACCAAGCUGCAGAAGGAAGACAAGGCAGGGCUCAGAGGGACAUGUGAGUCCAUCUUGAGGCUUAAUUAAUUAUGCGUAUAAGGCUGGACCAACUGCUGCAACAAGUAAGUGCAGGGCUUGACACUGUCACUCCUAGUUGAAUGGCCAUUGAACUUGAUGUUCUCAUCUGUGCCAAAGAAAUAAUAGCUUCCUCAUCGUUCUCAUCACUCUCUGGGUUCCUAUGAGGAUCACGCGGGAUAAUGUGUAUAAAAGUGCUUUGUAAAUGGAAAAGCAUGCUGCAAUAUAAGGUAUUAUAUUAAUAGUAACAACUGUCGUUUCUGAUCCCGAUGAUUCAUUUGGGGUCGGAGCUCUCAGCGCUGCUACCGUUACUGCCCCACGUCGUGCUUCAAAGCUGCAAUUACCAUGUGCAGUUUCAUUUGAUACUUAAUGAUCAUGGAAUGUUAGUGCUGGAAAGAAUCUUGGAGGUGAACUAAUCCAGCCUAGUCACUUGGUAUGUGGUGAGACACCCAUGGAGAGGGGAGGCUGGAUCUGAGGUUCCCUGGGGCCUGAGACUUUAGCCCUUCAGUGCUCCAGAGUGGGCUGUUUGACUUUUUGGAUUAGGAUGCCCUGUGCUUUCUGAAAAGUCUAGAGACCAGGAAGUUUGGGUGGGACACUUACCCUUAGUCAUUAGGUGGAGUUGCCACUCUGACUCACGUCUGCUUGCUCACGCCGACCCCACUCGGAGCUCCACUGCUUGAGGUUCUGGGCAGAUUUGGACAGUGCUCAGGGGUAGGUCAGAUGUUCAGAGGGUUGGGCAUAGGGUCCAGGAAAGAAGGGAGUGGGAACUGAAGUGUGCGGCCAACAAGGAAAGGAGACCAGAGCAAUUUCAGAACAAAGCAGGCCGAGCUACCUCUAUUUCUGACCUCGGUCCUUGUCAGACCCACCCUCCUUGGACUCUCUUGAUCUGUCCAAGACGCCAGCCACCAGGACACUCUCAGAAGGUACAGCUAGAGGACAGGGGGGGGGCCCCUUCUGUAGAGAAGACUGAGGGAACCAGAGAUGCUUUAAGAUUCAGAGGGCAGUCAGGCUUACUCUAGAUAGAAGAGUAAGGACCACUGGGAGGACGUUCUGGCAAAACUGACUCUGGCCUUCUGUUCACUUUUCAUUCAUGCUGUGAUUGAACCCUUUACUGCCUCCAGGUCUUGCUUAUGUGUCCCCUUAUAGAUGAGGCCUAGGAACCCCUCUAUUUCAACAUGCGCUUGCACCCCCCACACUUUGACUACUCUGUCUGAACUGGAUUCACCAUCCUAAACAUACUGAAGAAUUGCUCGUUAGCAUGGAGAGUGUCUGUCUACCCUCCACCCAACUUCCCCUGACAUUCACAUCUGAAUAACCAUACAGUGGAGCAAAGCUGGAGCCCAAGCAUUGAACAUUGGUGUGAAGCUGCUCCCUAAACCAUAGCGCUCUGUUGAAGGUCACUGGUUUUUCUACUCACGCCUUUUUCCUUUGCAGAGUCUAAUCCAGGAUCCCACCUGUCACAUCUCCUUAGUCUCCUCCAACCUGUGACAAGACUUUGUCUUUCGUGACUUAGACAUUGGGAAGAGCCCUGCUUGGUUAUUCGGGUAGAACGUCCCCCAAUUUGGGUUUGUCUGGUGUUUUCUUAUGUUUAAUAUAUCAUGAUUUUAUUUACUCUUUAUUGGGUCUCUCCCUGAACUGGAUGGUCAGCUCCCCCUGAAUAAGCUUUCUGGUCACUGAUGUACCCCAGCCCCCAGUGGAGCUCCUGGCCCAUGUGUUUCGUUGAUACUUGCUGAGUGACGGAGGAGGUGGUGAACUCCCCAGCAUCAGCUGAGCAUCUGACCGGGAGUGAGAGAAACCCAGUGCAGCUGGGUGCUGGCAGAGCCUUGGUGGGCGAAUGGGUUGGCUGGGCCUUGAGGCCUCUUUCAGCAUUCAGAUUCUGUGAUUUAUAAUCUGAUGGUGAUGUGUGGGUUCAAGUUCACUGAAUUCCACAGGUGUGAGCUGGCCAUGUGCUGGCUGUGGAACCCUGUGUUGGGCACCUAGGAUCCACACCCUAAAGUGAAUUUAUAUGCCUUGUGGGCCAAGGACCCAGGGAAAUGCAUGAGAGGGGCCCUUGGUGAUGCUGCAGGCAGCUGGUGGUCUAGAGCCUGGACUUUACGUCAGUGGUUCCCAAGGUCCAGCCUGCUUCAGAAUCACCCAGAAGACUCUGUUAAAACUCAAAUGGCUGGGUCUCACCCCCAGAGGUUUUAGUUUGCUUGGUCUUGGGGGGGGGCCUGAGAACUUGCAUUUCUGACAGGUCCCCAGGUGAUGCUAUUGUUGCUGGUCCAGGGAAACCCCCGCUUUGAGAACCACUGCUCUAGAUGUUCAGAGGAUAAAUAGAUCACUGCCAACGAGCAGGAACCAGGAAGGCUUCAUGGAGGAGGAGGUCAGGUUUGAGUGGGUGGGAUUUAUACCUGUGAGAGUGGGGCUUGAGUCACACAUAGCUGCCACAUGCAGUCUGCAGGUGCCUUUUGUCUGCCUUUGCCCUGUUGGCCUCUGGCCUCAUCGUGGCCUUGCCUGGCCUUCUCGGUACCAUGAGCAGUCUUGGCCGGGGCAGUCUAAGCCCCCAGAAGGGGAGUCUGACUAAGCCUUUGACAAGAGUUGACCUUGGCUGGCUUGGAUGGAGUCACUCUGAGGCCUGGACACAGCCCGUAUUGCACAGGCUGUCUGGAUGUGUUUAUUUGCCUGGGCCGUGCCCGCUGCCUCCUGGCACUGUUGGAGGUGUUGCUGUUGGGCUCCAAGGCUCUAUUUCUGUUUUCCCGUCUGGCACCAGCUCAGCGGAGGCAGAUGAGGUGUGUGGCCACCCUUGCUUUCUUCCUGGCUCCAUGUUCUUCUUGAGGCUGGUACUUGAUCAGGUAGAACAUUUUAAUCUCACUAGAUUUUCUGUUCUGGAAGCAGACGGCUUCUUUCUGGGGGAAGAGAGAUGCUGAAGGAGGAAGAAAGCUUUUAGGGAGGCAAAUAAUUAAAUUAUGUUUGGAUUUAACACACAGUGAUGGUAAGAAUGUUUACAUACACGUGUGUGUGUGGGGGGGGUUGUUUGUUUGUCUUUUGUCUUUUCUAGGGCUGCAGCCGUGACAUAUGGAGGUUCCCAGGCUAGGGGUCUAAUCAGAGCUAUCGCCUCUGGCCUACAUCAGAGCCACAGCAACGCCAGAUCUGAGCCGUGUCUGUGAUCUACACCACAGCUCACGGCAACGCUGGAUCCUUAACCCAUCGAGCGAGGCCAGGGAUGGAACCCGAAACCUCAUGGUUCCUCAGUCAGAUUUGUUUCUGCUGUGCCACAACGGGAACUACAACAUGUGUGUGUUUGAAGUUCCAGAAUCACUUAGGGAUUUUAAUUCCUUUAAGUGACAUUCAGAAAUUGAUGUUAGAGGUGACAGCAAGCAUCAGGAAGCUUGGGAGAGGCCAUAUCGCUUGUGCAGUCGGAGCCCGCUGGGCAGGAAGGCGGUGUGUCAUCCAAAUCACAGAACCACAGUUGGGACAAGAGGAACCUCAGGGUGCUUCUGGUCCUACCCCAUCGUUUUAAUCAGGACCUCACAAGGCUAAUGCCGCUCAAAUGUUACCUCCUCAACUAUCCCUGGGCAGACCAAACAGCUCCCUCUUUCCUCUGUGCACCAAAGUUGCUUUAUAACAGACCUCUCUUGUGAGUAGUCAUGUGUGGGAUCAGGGAUCAGCAAGUGACAGCCUGCAAGUCCACUGCCUGUUUUGGUCAGUAAAGUUUUAUUGAAACACAGGUGUGCCCAUUUGUUCCUUGACACUGUAGUGGCAGAGGUGAGUAGUUGCUGCAGAGACUCAGUAGCUUGCACAGCCCAAAGCAGACUAUCUGGCCCUUUAUAGAGAACGUUUGCCAGCUCUGACACUAGAAAGUGAAGGCAGGACUGGAGUUUCAUUGACCUUGGGGUCUUCCAUGCCUCGCUCAUGGUAGACACUCAAUGAAUAUAUGUUGACUGGGCUUGAAAGGCAGUGGAUCCCUUUGUCAAAGGCUGAGUGUGCAGUGCUGGAGACACCACCAGGCUGUCCUGGCUUCCCAAGCUUUCACUCUGUCGGACCAGUCUGUGCCCCAGUUUUUUCUCUGUGGAAAAAAGAUAAUAUUGUUUUCCUUGCUGAGUUCAUCAAUUUAUAGUGAGUAUAGAGCAGGAUAUAGAAAUCUUACUAGAACCAUGGGUCUUGCCCCUGGUCUCUCUGACGAGUCUGCCCUCGCUCAGCACUGGAUUUCUCUUUCUUAAAGUCUUGCUCCCCUGGUACCACCGUCUCAGCAGCUCCCUUUGCUUAUAGGCUAAAGGACGCACUGGGCCUUUCAUUCAUGACCCUCCUUAUUUUGGCCCUGACCUACCUGCCUGUCUUGAUCUGUCAUUCCUCCAGUGCUGUCUGGUGCAUGUUGAUUGCACCUUUGCUUGAGACCCUGUCCCCCUCUUCCUGCUUCUCUGCUCUCUGCUCUUGCAGGUCCCCCUUGUGCUGGCCCUGCUGGCAUCCUUGACCUGGACCAGCAUGAAUGACUCUCAUUUGCUACCUGGUGGAGUAUCUUUCAUUGCCAUUUUUUAAUCCUUGUGGACGAUUGUUAAAAAAACAGAAGCCCAUACCCCACACCCAUGGAGGUCAAUCUCUAAGGGUGGGAUCCAGGCCUCUGUUUUUAAUGAGCUCCUAGUAUGAUUAUGAUGGUGACCACAGUCUGAGGACCACUGAGUGAACAGUGAGUACUUUCCAGUAGCAUUUAUCUCGUUGUUGGGAUCUUUGUUGUCUCUUCAAGGAAGCUGGAAACAUCUUGAGGGCAGAGCUGGGUCUUAUUUUUUUCAGAGCAGUAUAUUUAUAGGAAGAUUGGAGCUGGGAGAUUUGUUCAUGAGAUUAUCUCCUGCAUCAGGCCCUCUGUCAGGGAGACGCUCUGUAAAUGUUUGCUUGUUGAUCGAUACAAGGUAUGAAAGUGCUCGGGAAAGCAAAACAGGCUCUGCAGCGCGGAGAUUAGCUUUGAGAGCAGGCCUGAUGUAUGCCUUCUACUGGUUCUGCAAAAGACGACCUCAGAGCCCUGGAUGCUUGGUGGCCCAGAUGCAGAAACUCAGCCCCCUGAGAACGCUCACCCAGCAGAAUCCCGUCUGUCUCCCUAGCUCUGUCUUGGCUUUGAUCUCCCCUGGUUGAUGUGGAAAGGCUCCUUUUCCCCCUCCCCUUUGACUUAGCCUUAUAAUGCAAAGCCAUAGAAAUGCAUGCUGCAGGGGAGAAGUUUGGACACCUAGGAAUGUAGAAGAGGGUUUAGCUUGUGUAAUGAGUUUUCUUUCUCAUUUAAAAUGCUCAGAGAGAAGUGCAGAUGUUUCAUCUCUGCUCAGCGAGUUCCACCACCUGUUUACACAAGCCUGUCCUCUGCAGCCUCAGAAAGGGCUUCUUGCCUUCUUCAGAGUGUGACGGCACAACCUUGGCACUGGCUUUCCAAGCAGACACAGUGUUCAGGCCUCAUGCCUCCUUUCCACUUAUGUGGCAGGAGGGUGAUAGUUCAGAACAAAUAAUUUCAGACAAUGCUUUGUUUAGAACCAUUGCGUGAGGCUGUUUAGAACACGAACAUGCCAUCACACUCUGAAAAGAUAGUGGUGCAGAGGCCACCCAUCGGGGUUGUAAACCUGGUCCCUGUCAGGGCUCUCUUUCACUGGAGUAAACAAUUCCUUUUCUUUUCUUUUCUUUUCUUUUUUAAUGGCUGCAGCCUCAGCAUGUGGAAGUUCCUGGGCCAGGGAUUGAAUCUGAGCUGCAGCUGUGACCUGUGCCACAGCUGCGGCAACGCUGGAUCCUUAACCCACUGCACCUGGCUGGGGAUCCAUCUCACGCCUUCCCAGCAACCCAAGCUGCUGAAGUUGGAUUAUCAACCCACUGCACCUCAGUGGACCUCCUGGAGUAGAUAAUUCUUAGUCUGCGGAAAGAGAUAAAACAAUGAAAGCCAGUAAAAGGAAAACAGAACCAGGAGUCAACAGUUAACCAGAGGGCCGAUUUAGGAGAAUUCUCUGUAUUUCCUUAGACUUUUACAGCCAUCUAAGCAUAUAUGUGAACCUUGGCUUUGGCCAGUAAGUGUUCCAAUGGCAUGUGAAUAAAAACUUCUUUCUCCUGUUGUUUCACUAUCAGCGUGUUUUAUGUGGGGAAAAAUGUAUGUUCUAGAACUUGCUCCCCUCCUCACUUACGAUCUCACUGCAUUAAUAUUAAGCUUCAUUAUUCCCAUUUAUUAUAUUAGAGGCUUAUUGCUUAAUUAAAAAAACUGAGUUGUAUUUGAACUUUAAUUGGACUAUUAGCUUUUUUUUUUUUUUUUUUUUGGUCUUUUUGCCUUUUCUAGGGCCAUUUCCCGCAGCAUAUGGAGGUUCCCAGGCUUGGGGUCUAAUCGGAGCUGUAGCUGCCGGCCAGAGCCACAGCCACAGCAACGCAGGAUCCUUAACCCACUGAGCAAGGCCAGAGAUCGAACCCGAAACCUCAUGGUUCCUAGUCAGAUUCAUUAACCACUGCACCACGAUGGCAGCAACUCCAUGGACUAUUAGCUUUUUAAUAAGUUACAUUUAGGAGUUCUCCUGUGGCUCAGCAGGUUAAGGAUCAGGCAUUGUCACUGCAGUGGUUUAGGUCACUGCUGUGGUGUAGGUUCGAUCCCUGGCCUAGGAACUUCUGCAUGCCAAGAAUGCCACCAAAAAAAAAAAAAAAAAAAAAAAAAGAGAGAGAGAGAGAAAAUAAACAAUACCAUUUACUGUCUACUGGUGAGGGCUCAAACCGUUUAAUUUAUUACUGCAUCUGUUUGUCCAUUGAAAGGAACAAAAAACUGACCCAGCAGAGACUGAACUUGGUGGCUAUGCUCUUCUGAGUGUGGGUGGGGGGAUGGCCCCGUGGGAUCCAAGGUAUGUUUCAUGGGGAGCACAGGAAGAGACCAUCAAACAUGGGACACUACAGUCUGUGUCUAAAUGCUAGAAUCGGUUUUCCUCCAUGGUCCCUGGAACCGGCAGCAUGGGUGGGAAUAGCUUAGCGACCACGUGGUCCUGUGUUGCAGCGAAAGCAGGUCUGGCAUGGAUUUUCUCCGGUGAUGCCUGUGAACCGGCUGGUGAAGACUUCCAAGUGGAGAACAUUACAUACUGAUUCAGAGAAAUGUUGCAUAUGAAAAUUAGGGCCCUUUCCUAUAUGGAGGGGGCAGAAAGUGUGUGUUGAUAAACAGUGUGUUUGAUGUGGAUGACACUUGGUUUCCUGGUGAUAAUAAAGUGUGCUUGGUCAAAUUGGCUUCUGUUUUUGAUAAAAAUGAGCUUCCAAAAGGCCAUUCUGGCUCAUGCGCCAUGGGAAAGAGGUUUCAGCAAGGAGUUUCUGUGUGUUUCCCCACAGCACUAGCACUGCUCUGGUCAUUCCGUCCCUGGGGGCUUGGCACUGAAGAAUGAAAGCGUGAGUGAACUCAGUCUUUGUCCUCAAGGAGCAUGUGGUCUGACGGGACAUCCAGGACAGCUGCUUAGAAGGGUGGGACUAAAGGUGGUGGGGACCUCUGGUCUUGGAGCCAAAGACCUCAGAAAACAGGGCAGGAAAACCAUUCAUCUGGGGACUCACGAACAUGUGAGCCGACUUACGUAGGUGGCAUCUGAGCUCAUCCCUGAAGAAUACAUAUUUUAUAAACAGAGAUGGAAGAGGUAGAGGGUACAAGAAAAGUGAUGAUGUGCAGAGCAUGUUCAAGGCAGGUUAAUGAAUGUUUUUGGAGAGCCUGGUCUGUGCAUGGAGCUCCAUUUGAGUGAAAGGAAUGAGGUUGGAGCUUGAUACAGCACCAGGCAGCAUUCCCAGUACUAGUCUUCACUCCUUACAAAAUUAUGGCAAAUGAUAAACCUUGUUUUUAAUUGCGUUACUUUAUUUGAUCAGGACAACAACCCGAUGAAGUAAGAAUCAUUAUUGUUCUCAAGUUACAGAAGAGGAAACCGAGAUGCUUGCAGUGAAGUGACUUGCUUAGAUUUACACAGCAGGUGUGUCAGACUCUGGAGCUUGUGUUUGUCGCUGGGCCUACGUGCUGCCACUUCUCACCCUGAGGUGCAGUGGUUCACCUGUCUGCUCAUCUCUCCAGUAGGGUGUGAGCAGCUUGUGAGCAGGGAUGUGGCUUAGUCCUCUUGGUCCCCCUGUCAUCGAGCAAACUGUCCCGCAUGUGGUCUGAGGUCGGUAAAUAUAGGCUGAGUCCAAAUAUGUGCUAUGGAGAUUGGAAGGAGGGAGUGAGCACAUCUUCUGGGUUUAGAGGGACAGCUCAGGGAAGGUUAGGGAGGGCACUUCUGGGUGAGAGAAGAACACAAGAUGGCUGGAGUGGGUCCGAGCGAGGGCUGUGCAGGGAAUGAAGGAUGCCACCAUCCCUUGGGCACGAGCGUGGGAUGUGGAUAGGGAUCUGGAGGUGAUGCUGAGGAGAUAGGUGUGGCCAGUGGUCACGGAUCCUUAACCCACUGAGAGAGGCCAUGAAUCCUCAUGGGUACUAGUUAGGUUUGUUACCACUGAGCCAUGAUGGGAACUCCUACCAACAUUUAUUGAGCAACUUAAGUGUACCACAUUCUGUAGCUAGAGAGGCAAAUAAGGAUUGCUCACAGACUAAUGCUCUCAUCUGUAUGUUGCGUUGUUGGUGUCCAUUGCUGGGGGAAGACUCACGGGGUGAUGGGGACCCAGGCCAGCCCUUGGCAUUCAGGGGCUAUGCAAGGACCAGCCCAUGGACUGACAGUGAUUCUCUGAUCCCGAGUUGCUGACUGGUAUGGUACCAAAGAUCUGCUCUCUGGGUGUUUGCAACUGAGCUAAGCAACUGAAAAAUCCAGUUUUUUGGUAAAGGUAAAGGAAGAUAAAGCAUGACAGACAGAAGAGGAAACAGGUUAAUCAUCCUAUAAAUCAAACCCCUGCCAUCUGUGUCAUUUGUGAAUGUGACCUAACUUUUCAGAAAUGGAAAAUUUGGGAGUUCCCAUUGUGGCUCAGCAGGUUAAGAACCAGACAUAGUCUCCAUGGGGAUGCUGUUUGAUCCCUGGCCUUGCUCAAUGGGUUAAGGAUCUGGUGUUGCCACAUGCUGCAUGUAGGUCACAGAUGUGGCUCGGAUCUGGUGUUGCUGUGGCUGGGGAGUAGAUUGGCAGCUGCAGCUCUGCUUCGACCCCUAGCCUGAGAACUUCCAUAUGCUGCAGGAAAUGGAAUGGAAAAAAGAAAUGGAAAAUUCCUUCUAAAUCUUCAUAGGAUUACACCUCUUCAAUGUCUCCUACCUGGGCAUGGUCAGGAGUGAGGUCUGGAGACCAGGCGUUUAGGAGGUAGGCUUGGAUGUAUUGGCCUUUCCUGUUCAGCCAGUGCUGAGGCUGAGCUUUGAAGGUAGGUGUUAGGAUGGGCCGUCUCUGAGAGGACCCCAGAGAAUAAAGAGGCAACACCACUUUCUUUCGCACAGAGUCAAGAAGGUUACCCUAAAACUCAGGACUCACCUUGACCCUGCUCUGCCUGUGUGAAAAGUUGUCAUUGAUCAGAGAAUGGUGGACCAGUUUCCCUCAGAGAUGGGCUUUUGUCAUGAAGCUGAUUAUUAUUGUUGUAUUACUCAGAGUUCAGCUCUUAGAAAAUUAGAGCAAGUGGGCUCCAAGGCCAAACCUUUGCUAAUCAUUUCUUUUUGGGAUUAGACUCUCUAGGUGUUAACCAGUCCCCAGGGAACCUGCCUUCUGCACUGGCAUCCCUGUGUGAGGAAUGGUACCCACCCAGGCUCUGUUAAGCCUGAGUUUGCCAGGAUCUGGAUUCCAGGGGCCAUUUGUGUCCCCAUUCAUCUUUCUGUGAGACUUGGCCAGUGAUACACUGACCUGAUUUCUGAUGAUCUUCAGCUGCUCAGAGUGGAAUCCGUUGUGGUCAGGCAAGGAUGGAGCUGACAGGAAGAAACCCAGCCUGGGCAUCCAGGGAGCAGAAGUAAAGGGUCAGGACCAAGGAGGAGUGGGCAGAACCAUGAAGGCCAGGCUCUGAGUGGUCCUAGGUCCGCACACACGGCCCUGCUCAUGAGUCUGGCACAGAGAUGCCUAUUAACCAUGACAGUCCUGGAGCCAUAUUGGAAGCCAAAGGAAGGUUGGAGGCCCACCCUGCUGCUGACUGGAGCAGAGGAUACUGGAGAUGCUGGAAUUAUCUGACCUUGUGAGAAUCAACUUUGUCCUGAAAAUUGGCAGAUGGGGCUGGUGGCCAGGCCUGGGUGCAGACAAAACACACAAAGUGGGGUCUCCCAGGUUGGCUGCUUGCCCCAUGCUUUGGGGCCAUGCCUAAAGCUAAGUAGUCACAGCUCUGUUAAAUGAAGUCGGCUGAACGUCUUGUCUUAGCCAGAUGGAACCGAACACCUGGGUGUCUGCCAAGACCUCACCUGCUCAGGUCAAGAAGCUCCCCCCAACCCCCCAAGGGGCAUGGCUCUGUGAGAUGCCCCCAUGGGUGUCCUGAUGGGGGUAGGCGCUUCCUUGCAUUUGGUCGAGAGAGGGCAGUUCUGCUUGUUGGUCCUCAGGAUUCCAGAUAGGAGCGAUUCAGGGUAUGGCAAAGCAAAGGCUGCUUUCUGGUGUGUUUGCAUUACUUCCAGUUUCUAAAUUUCAGCUUGAAGAUAAUGAUAUUAAUACUCACCACUAGCAAAUGUUAGGCUCUUAUUCCCUGUAUAUUUACACGUUUAUGCUUCCUAACAACUUGUGUGGCGGACCUGGUCGGUUGUUUUGGCAGAGAAAGGAAGAGGAGGAAGCUGAAGUACCAGGAGGCAAAGUGACUUGCUAAGGACAAUCGGUUAGUGAGUGUCCAGGCCAGGAUUCACCCCCAGGCCCACUAGCUCCAGAGCUGAACCCCAGCUCAAUGUCACCAAUGGUGUCAACCACCUUGAGGAUGGGGCUGGGUUGACACCUGUUGAUUUUGCUGGUGAAAUUGCCAACCUUCUCAACCCUUGAAAAGUCUGAGAAGUGCAACCUUAUCCCAAGGGCAUGUCUUCUAGUUUGCUGAAUUUUUAAGAGGAGGUUGUACUUUCUCUUUUACAACAGGCUUUCUUGCCUGGAUGUGGGAGACGGUGAGGGCUCGUAGAACUGGUCUCUCUCCCAAACCCUCCUGAGACUCAGAUGCUCUGCCAUGUUCCCCUUUCACCUGUCAAGCGGUGUGUGUCUCUGUAGCCAGAGCCAGAGAGCAGGGCCAGACUGGACAGGGCAGGUGGUUGUUCUGAGGCCACUCCCCAGGUGGCCCCCAUGCAGCCUUCCCAGUCACCAGCCCAAGGUCACUGUGGAGAUGGCCAUGUGAGGAGGGAAGGAGAAAGUAGGGGAGGAGGUGAUGUGGGCUCAGGGCUGACUGGCCCAGGCCGCCAAGCCUUCGUCCUGCUUGGUUUAAAAGUCUAGACUUGGGUGUCACAUGGAUCCUGGUGUCCAUCUUGGCUUUGCCUUUUAGAAGCCUGGGAUCAAGUAGAUCCUUCACAAAUGUAGUUUCUAACUGUGUCGUGGUCAGGCAGGCAGAUGUUAGGGUCCGAUGCCUGGGGUCACUAGUGAGCCAUGUCGCCUGAGACACUUGCCUCUCAGCAGGACCAGCUGUAUAACUUGCAAGGGCCAGUGCAAAGUGAAAAUGCAAGCCCCUUGUUCAAAAACUAAGAAUUUUAAAAUGGUGACUUAAACCAAGUGUAGGGCCUUUCUGAGUGCAGGGACUAUGCAGAUGGUACUCAGGUUUCUUCAUCUAUAAAAGGGGAUCAUUGUAUAUUCCUCACAGGUUGUUGUGAGGUUUAAAAAAGAUAAUAGAGGAGUUCCCAUUGUGGCACAGCAGUAAUGAAUCUGACUAGUAACCAUGAGGUUGCGGGUUCGAUCCCUGGCCUCGCUUAGUGGGUUAAGGAUCCAGUGUUGCUGCGAGCUGUGGUGUGGGUCACAGGUUUGGCUUGGAUCCCGAGUUGCUGUGGCUCUGGUGUAGGCCGGCAGCUACAGCUCUAAUUUGACCCCUAGCCUGGGAACCUCCAUAUGCUGCAGGUAUGGUCCUAAAAGAAAAAAAAAAAAGAUAAUAGAGCAUGAAAAACAUUAGGCUGCAGGUAAAGGGCUGGGUAGGUGUUAGUGUACUUUAAUCUGUGCAGUAUCAGAAAUGCACAGCCUCUUUUUGAGCCAUUGGCAAAGGACUGUGGACAGAGAAGGGAGCCUUAGUAAUGACACCUGAAAAUUAUGAGAAAUUUGAAUUUUAGUGUCUAUGAAGUUUUAUUGGAGCAGAGCCAUGCACACUCAUUUCUGUAGCUUCUAUGGCAGAGUUGAGUAAUCGCAUAUAUGGUUACAAAAAAGUUUGCUGACCUCUAAGCUGUAGAAUAAAAUUAGGCUUCUGGGCAUGGCAGCUAAGGCCCCUAUCCCCGUCGUCAGCCUGCCUCCCUGCCCCCUUCACUUCUUCUCCCUUUAUGCUCUUAAGAACCCACAACUGCUUCAAGGUCCCCUGCACAGUUUUCACCUCCGUGCUGAUCCCUUCUCUUUAUCUUUUUCCUUUCCUUGGCUGGACAUCACUGACCCAACCCUGCAGAAAUCACCUCCUCCAGGAGGCCUUGCCAACCUAUGUCUCUGGUUUAGAAGCUCUCCUCUCUGGGACUUAACUGUUUCAAUAGGAAAAAUACAGAGAAGCUCAACAGCUUGGGGGCAGGGAGCUCAGCACAAGGGAAGCAGGGCCUGGGGCGGCAGUGGCUCACCCAGUCAGCAGAUGUGGAUGGGGUGGCUGGGACUCACCACGCACUCUGGAUGUGGAGACGCAGACUCACAGACAUGGGUUCUGUCCCCAGGGGCUUCCAUUCCAGCGGAGGAGGCAAUGAACACGUGCACGAACACACAUAUGAAAAAGAGUGUCCAGCCCUCGUUAGUGCUCUGCUAAAGGGGUAGGAUUGGUGAAGGGGAGGGGUGGGUGAUCUGGAUGAAGAGGCCAGGAGGGCCUCCAGGAGGUGGCAUCUAAGUCCUGAAUGAGGCAGAGCUCGGCAGAGCCAGACGCUCUGGAGCAAGAAGGGAAGAGAAGUUCUCUUCUAAUGCUAUCUCUGCAUUUGUGCUCUUCAGCCGCAGGAGAUGGGGAGAGGGAACAGGUGCUUCUUCCCAGAAGCCCUGAAAGUCACACCAGGCUCUCAAGUCAGGGCCCUCCCUUGUGGCCGGGCUGCACCUUCCUUUAGGCCCCUCUCUAGAGCCUCCUGGCAUUUAUUUCAGCCACAGCACUUAAGCAGCAGCCCCUUCUGAGAUCCGUGAAAUGGCUGGAGGGACUUCAGCUGCAGAUUUGGUACCUCUCCAUUUUGAGAGGCCAAACUGAAACCCAGAGAAGUCGGGUCCCUUGGUUACUGGGCUCAUCAAGGGGCAGAGCCAGGACCAGAAUCCUGGUCUCCUGACUCCCAGAGAUCCCUCAUCUUUUGACUUUGCUGGGAGAUACCAGGAGAAACCAGUCCUCAGGAUUGAGAUAAGGCCAGUAGAGGCCAUUGGGAAACCUUUGGGUCCACACACCACCCAAGAGAAAGGCCCUCUGGCCAAGACGGGCUUCUUCCUUGAAGAGGGUCCUCCUGUGUAUCACCGUGCUCUUUCCAGAGGAGGCCAGAGGCACUGUCCGGAGCUGCUGGCCCCUCAUCCCACCAGUUUAAUUUAGCUCCAGUCCUUCUGGAGGCUGUGCUAAUUAUAGCCCACUGGCCAUGCUGGGAGCUAUAAAUAGGGUGGGAAGCACCUGUUUGGUUAUUAGUAGGCAUUUAUCAAGGUACCUACAAAGGAUUUGGCCUUUAGGGUGUGCCUCCGGUGGGCAUAGAAAGCACCUAGAAACCUUGAACUUCCCUCUUCAUUAAUAGGUUAGAGAAAGCCAGCCUGAAUGGUGGAGGGCAGGGUCAAGAGCAUGAUUUGGGAAAUAGGCUGUGAAAGUUCAAAUCUUGGCUUUCACAACUGUGAGACCUUGCAAACGCUACUCAAACUCUCUGUCCUUCAGUUUUUCUUCUUUAUAAAUCAAGGUCUCAGUAAUAUGUAUAUAAUGAGGAUGUUAUACUAUUAAGUGAGUGUAUACGUAAUAUAUUAAAUGUAUGCAGAUUCAUAUAAGCAUAGAAUCAUCAUAACACAUUCUAUUAUAUAAUUAUAUAUUUAUAUGUAAAUAAUCUGCCUAUAAUGGAUAUAUUAUGUGUGUGUGUGUAUAUAUAUAUUUCUUAUACCUGGUAUCUUAGGUGUAAGAAAAUUAUUUAUUGUUUAUUAUUGUAUGAAAUGGCAUGAGGGCAGUCCGUACACCAUCUGCCCAGGAGUGACGGUCUUUUGUGGAAACCUUGAUCUUGGACGAGCACUGAGCCUAGGGCCCUCCCAGCCUUUGUUGACACAGUGCUGUGUGGCAGUUGAGUGGAGGUUAAAUUUCACUUCUGAUACGUCCCAUCUAUAAUUCAUCUGUGAUUCUCCAUUCUUUAUCAGUAAAGGGGGCACCAGAAUAAGGAGCAUUUCAUGUGGCUUUGGCAGGCUUCAAUGAGCUAAUGCCUGUAGAGCGCUUAACACAGUCUCUAUUAACGGAAUUAGUCAUUGUUAAUACUCCUCUUCUCGGAUGACUUUGGCUAUGAGGCAGCAUCUCCAGGCUAAUGUAGUUAUGUCCCCUGGGGAAUGGGGCUGGUGCCUUAGUGGGCAGAGGGCAGCCGUCCCGAGACGCCCCAGCCUGAAGCUGGGAGGCCAGUUGUCUUCCUUGGCUGGCCUCUGGUCCAGCUGUUAGCACCCUCCUUCUGGGCCCCAGGGUUCCUUCUCUUAACAAUGCUGUUUGCUUCCUGUGUCUCUGUCCUUGUGUCCCAGCUGAGUUCUGAGUGUCUAACCCUGGGCAUAGCACUUAGUGGGCCUCCGGGAGGGAGGACAAGAUACCUGGGAGCUUUCCCAGAGAGGAGCUAUAUUUGCUUUAUCCUAUGCCGCAAAGCAAGGAGGUCAGUGGGAGUGUCAAGGAGGCUGAUCUCUGUUAGGGAAAGGGUGAGUUGCCUGUCCCUGAGCCUGCUUGAAGGGAGAGGCUUGGGCAGAACGCUGGCCUGGGAGUUAGGCAUGCUAGUCCAGACCUGCAGCAUGGGUGCCCGUUCAGACCUACUGAACUCCUGUCUGAUUUUAGCAAGACGCCCUGCUGUGCACGUGGAAGUCGGAGGAGCCCUCUGUAGACCAGUGAGUGGUCCUUAAGCCAGGCAUCACUCUUCCCAAUCCCCAACUGAGAAAACUCAGGCUAUUAUGGGCUUUGAGCCUUGGUUUUCAAAGUUCUGCUUCUCUCCCUGGGUCACCGGGCAGCACUGAUAUUUUCCUGGACCAGCAGCAUCGUCCUCACCUGUUAGAAAUGGAAAUCCUCAGGCCCCGCCCCAGAGCCAGGGAAUGAGAACCUCUGGGAUGGAACCAGGGUGCCGGGUUAACCAACCCUUUAGGCUGCUUGGAAGCCCUAACUAGAUUGAUAGCCGGGAAUACUGGCUGUCAGCCCCGACUACACUCUGGAAUCACUUGGGAAGAUAAACCAAGGAAAUGCCUAGGUCAUGAAGAGCAUUGUGACAGGGUGUGACAAGGAUGUUGGGAAAGUCAGAGACACAGUGAUUCUCCUGUGCAGCCAGGAUUGAGACCAGUUCUUUAGGCCCAUGGGAUGAGCCUCAGUUUUCUCUGCUGUAAAUUGGGUAGAAUCGGGUAGACUAACCUGUUUGCCUGGGACAAACAGGGAAGCUGAAAGGGCCAGGGACCUGGAAAAGCACAUGGGAGACAGGCUUCCGUCUGUCAGGAAGGGUGCACCUGGGAUUCCGGUGCUGAGCGAGGCUGGAUUGGGUGCCCACUCAUGGCUUCAGGGGUAGAAGAGUAACGUGGUGCCUGGCUGAUCCAAGUACUAAGUGCUAUAAAGAGGGUACCCUGCUUGCUGCAGUAUCUCUGCUUGGGGAGUGAGAUUGCUGGUUAAUUGGGAGCCCAGUGCAAGCUGCCCACUGGCUGCCCCCAGUGCCUAAUCCUGGAGCUCGCUUUUGGUGGAGUCCUUUGCACAGUUUUGGGGAGACGAUGGGCUGCUCCAUCCCAGGUUCCCUUGGAUUAGAAUGGUGGGGCUGUUGGGGAACUGGGCCCCCUUGCUCUGAGCAUUGGUGGUGGCAAGAAUGAGGUUUAGAGAAAUAUUUACCCAAAGUAAUCCCUCUGCUAUGCCACUGCCCGUCUCCCAGGAAGCUGGGUAACAAACACAGAGUUCUGGUCUAAUUUAUGAAGGGAAUGAGCUGGGUCUUCUAAGGUCUGGGACGAGGCAGGGAAAAGGGUGGUGGUUAUUGGCCCUGAAGUGGCCAGCAUCUCAGGCUCAUGAGAAAAUAGCCCUUAGUUCCAACUACAAAAGUUGCAUGUAUACCACACACUGCAUUCAAAAGCGUCCUGAAACACCAGACGUGGGAUUCGAUCAUAAUCUAAUGUUAAAACCGGGGUUCAUGACGCUCCCAUGUGCUUGGAGGGGCUGCUCUAAGGGGUACCUUGUGUGAUCUUCAGUGACCCCCCCCCAUGAGCCAUGUAUCAUGAUCCCUCCUGUUUAACAUGAGCAGUUGCUUCUCAGGGGUCUGUGAGGGUCAACCUUUGCAUCUCAUGAUGGGAAAACCAAGACCCAGAGGUUAGGUCUGUACCCAGGGGUCAUAGUGUGAAAGCUGCCGAGACCAAAUUAGAAGCCAGGUCCUAAUCGUUAACGCACAUUUUGAAAAACAAAGGGUUUUUAGCAAAACCCCUUGAUUCCCAGUUGGGAAUGACUUAAGACAGAGUGCCUGGAUUAUAUAACACCGGAAAGAUAAUUCACAGGGCAUUUGUUCUGAAAAGUUUGACAGGAAAUCAUCUAACAGCAUAUGCUUAGGCUUCCAGGAGAGCUGUUCUCUGGCUCUCUCUGCCUCACUUGCAUCAUCAGGGCCUGCUUCACCUCCAUGGCACUCACCUGACUGGCCUUCCUAUGUGCUUGACCCAGGCCCAGCUAAUAAUUGUUCUAACUUUAGCUACCAUGGUACUUUAUCAAAGGGGUGUGGCUCUCACUGGUUUCCCUGGUAACUGAUGAGCCAACCUGAUGUCAGUUCCCCAUAUAAGGGGCAGUUCUCCCCGUCCGUGGGAGUGAAGACUGCCGCCAUGUUCUGUCUCCACCCUUUGUCGCAGGUGUUGCGCUGCGCCCUUGCUUCAGACGUAAAGAAAAGGGAAUAAUGACUGUUCUUACCACCUGGACCACCUUCAUUCUAUUCCAAAAGACAGUGCUCACAAUCCAUUUAAGUAGAUUUCAUGAUCAACCAGUGGGCUAAGUCCUGCCAUUUGGGAAUGACUGGUGUGGCCCAGCUCCCACCUUGAACCAGAGGAGGCCAAACCUGCUUCAACAUCACAUAUUGCUUCUUCACAAAUCUGAGAUGAGGAUCCAGCUUUACUGAGAGCCAGCCUGUGCCGGGCCUGCCGUCGUACCUGAGAGAGACUCUGUUAGGAACCUUCUGGAGCCACUGGUGGACUUGUUCUGUGGUUUUAUGCCCACUCCUUCCCUCCUUGUAUGGACACACUGCAAACCUGAGGCUCCCAGGUCUGGCCAGGCUCUCUCUCGCCAUCGCCUGUCCCAGUGCUUUUGUGCCUCUCUGGUCAAUGUUCUUUUCUGCCCCUCUGAGAACCAGAUCACAGAUGUUGAAACAGUCCUGAGGAUUUCGGGGAUGGUCGAUCUCGGUGGUAUUAGGAAAGAGAACUCCUUGAUCUGGGUCUACAACUCCUCACUCACCCCUCACUCACAAUUCCAAAAUCUCCAAAGCUCUGAAAAGUCGGGGUUUCCAUAAUUCACAUGGAGGCAAACCUGCCCUGAACCGAUGUAGGGCUGGUAAUGGUCCUUGUUCAUCCCAAUUCAGUCUGGAGAGCCACAUGUCUCCCUGCAGAAAUGGGAGCAUGUGGGCCACAGGUACACCUGGUUAAUUUUCUAAAACCUGAAAUAGUCAGAAUUGUAAAACAUAUCGGGCCUUGGGUUUGGGUAAGGGAUGGUGGACCUGUAGAUGUAUUCAGUGUGUGUGAGUGUUACUGAUUAAUCAGUAAAUGUUAAUGGAAAGGAAGUGGUAGAUGAUUGAAAGUGCAGAGGCCCAGUUAUCAGAAAGCUGCCUGUUAAUAGCUGUGCAGUGAAUGUCGGAGGGUUUUGUGGGGGUGAAGAGUGACGGCUCUCAAAGCGCUUGGGAAACUAGACUGGUCUAUAACAUACUGUAUAAGAUGUUUGGUGUGGUCUGGGUUCUUCAGGAAACUGAAUUGUAAUC